rnacentral:lncRNA from 1 species
UUUUGAUCUCUAAGCUAAGCAAAAGAGAGCUUAGAAUCAUGUAGAAACUUAUCUAGAACCAUUUCUAGGCCAUUCAAACCGUUCCUAGGGCAUACAAACCGAAUCCUAGAAAUCCACCAUGAGAGCACCUCAAGAAAACAUGGUUUUCAUGGAUUCCAUGGCUUUAACUAAGUUUUUAAUCUUGUAAGAAGAACAAAACCAAAGGAUUUAGGGCAUAAAAUCAAAUCCUAAUAUCAAUCUUACAAGAAACCUCACCUUAGCCUAGAUGCCCACCAAGCUCCACCUUGUAGGAGAGCUCUAGGUCUUCCAAUCUCCAAAAUCUCCUCCAAAUCCUCCUUUUGAUCUCCUUUUUUCCAUCUUGAGAAGGUGUUUCUAGAGAAAGAGAGGAAGAGAAAUGAGAUAGGGAGUUGUUCUCAGCUGGGAACAAGAGAAAAGAAGGGUUAGGGUCUUAUAUAGUGUGACGCCCCAACUUCCCAGGGGGUCACCCAUCCUAGGACUACUCCCGUCCUAGCACGCUUAACUCUCUUAACCUCUUGGGCCUUGCCACCACCCAAAAUGCUUAAGCCGGGUUAAGAGUUUAGCCCUAUUAUAUCUCAUAUAUAGGACUAUCUGGGGUCUCACAAUCUCCCCUCCUUUAAGCCCUGACGUCCUCGUCAGGCUCAGACUCACAAGUACCAGGCGAUGUGAGACUCAUCUCGCUAGCCCGUCAUCCAGACCCUGGCUCAGUCGAGACUCAUCUCACACUUCCGGCUGGUAAUUGGCUCUGAUACCAUCUGUGACGCCCCAACUUCCCAGGGGGUCACCCAUCCUAGGACUACUCCCGUCCUAGCACGCUUAACUCUCUUAACCUCUUGGGCCUUGCCACCACCCAAAAUGCUUAAGCCGGGUUAAGAGUUUAGCCCUAUUAUAUCUCAUAUAUAGGACUAUCUGG